rnacentral:lncRNA from 1 species
CCCUCUCUCCUUCUGGGUGCCCCUGAAAAUGGUUUCUUAGCACCUGAAGAACUUGAAGAACCAGGGUCUUGGAUUUUUCCCACUUUGAUAAGACUUUCAGUUCUUUCUCCGCAAAUUACAACAUCCGAAAAACUACCAAACAGACAACUUCCCAUACGAUCCAUGAAAACACCUUGCAAGGUUCCAAUGAACAUAUCAGUCAAUUCUCUCUCCAACAUCGGAGGUUGUACUCUCGCAGCUAGUUCACGCCACCU